UACGGGGGGGGGCAAGCGUUUGUUCGGAAUUACUGGGCGUAAAGGGUUUGUAGGUGGCCCGCUAAGUCACACGUGAAAAUCCCCUCAGCUUAACUGGGGAACUGCGUGUGAGACUGGCAGGCUCGAGGGCAGGAGAGGAACGCGGAAUUCCAGGUGUAGCGGUGGAAUGCGUAGAUAUCUGGAGGAACACCGGUGGCGAAGGCGGCGUUCUGGACUGUCUCUGACACUGAAGAACGAAAGCCAGGGGAGCAAACGGG
rnacentral:rRNA from 1 species